rnacentral:lncRNA from 1 species
AUGGUAGCAGGAGAAGUCAUUGACCCAGCCCAGCUCCUGAGGCCCCCAGGGAAUGGGAAAGUCCGGGAGGCAGAGCAGCCCUUGGCAAGCCGUCCACUGGGGCCACAGGACAACCCCAAGAACAAGAGGGCCAGCUCCUGGUGUUGGGGACGCCUCACCUCUCUUCCAUAUCCUUCAAGACCCUCACAGGGCUGUGACCCAGGUCCCCCACAGUUCAUGGAGGGGUGGGGUGGAGCCCCUCCUGGAGGGGCUCACCCAGCCUUGCUCUGGCACCACAGCCAGUCACCACUGGGCUGUUCUCAGCGAAACAAGAGUGUGUGCGCCAAGUCGGCUUCCACACUCCCCCUGCCCGCUCCCAACCCGGCAGUGGCCACUUGGAGCGUGAGAACCCUCCCCAGCUCAGACAUCAGAGCCCGAGGCCCGCGGCCACAGGUGUGGGUCAAGGGGCACCUUUGCAAGAUCUGCCUUCUCCACGCUAUCGACGCCCUCACCCCUCCUUGCAGGGCUCCUGCGUGGGGUCCCCUGCGGUGCUGGAUUUGCUGGUCCCUCCCCCAGCUCGGAGCCGACCAACAGCACAGGUGGCAUCUGCAGUCCCAGAAGAAAACACUCCAGAGUCUUUGGGGCUCCCUUUCUUGCUGCCUCCUCCACUCUCCUGUUUGCAGACAGGAAAUGCAGCGCUGUGGCCCUCCUCCACCUGGAUGUGCAAGAAAAGCUUCCCAAGUCCUCCCUUGGAGCUGGGCUCCGGGUCCAGCUCAGAGCCUGCCGGGGAAAAGUGGGCCUCCCACCAACGCCCCUGCCCUGGGUUCCCAAAGAGCCGGGAGCAGCCUCCUGGGGGGGGGGUGUGGGGAGCCCAGCGCUGGGUCCCCAGCUCGCGGCUUGCACCGCACCUGGACAGCGAGGGUCCCGCGCUGCUGUCACCUGUAUCCAGAGGGCUGGAGAGCACACGUGGCUCACGCAGGCACAGCUGAGAAGGAAGCUGUGUCCCCAGCCACCUGCCCACCCCCUGCUGUUUCCAGCUGCCCAUUCCUCCAGCCCCAGCACACUCUGUCCUCCCCCUGCUGGCCUCCCCGGGCUCAGGCCUCCCUGGACUGGCUGCCUCCCCGACUCCACAGUCCCAGAGUCACCGCGGUGAGGAGGAUCAGCCAGCAGACCCCACCCACCUUGCAGACCCUGGGCUGA